rnacentral:rRNA from 1 species
GCAAGGCUGAAACUCAAAGGAAUUGACGGGGGCCCGCACAAGCGGUGGAGCAUGUGGUUUAAUUCGACGCAACGCGAAGAACCUUACCGGGGCUUGACAUUGUCUUGCCCGUCUAAGAAAUUAGAUUUUCUUCCUUUUGGAAGACGAGAUAACAGGUGGUGCAUGGUUGUCGUCAGCUCGUGUCGUGAGAUGUUGGGUUAAGUCCCACAACGAGCGCAACCCUUAUGCUUAGUUGCUAACUUGUUUUACAAGUGCACUCUAAGCAGACUGCCGCAGAUAAUGCGGAGGAAGGUGGGGAUGACGUCAAAUCAUCAUGCCCCUUACGUCCCGGGCUACACACGUGCUACAAUGGCCUGUACAGAGGGUAGCGAAAGAGCGAUCUUAAGCCAAUCCCAAAAAGCAGGCCCCAGUUCGGAUUGGAGGCUGCAACUCGCCUCCAUGAAGUAGGAAUCGCUAGUAAUCGCGGAUCAGCAUGCCGCGGUGAAUACGUUCCCGGGCCUUGUACACACCGCCCGUCACACCACGAAAGUUGGCGAUACCUGAAGUUACUAGGCUAACCCCGUAAGGGGAGGCAGGUACCGAAGGUAUGGCUGGCGAUUGGGGUGAAGUCGUAACAAGGUA